CGGGGCCGGCCAUGGAGAGGGCGGCCCCUCCCCCCGGCCCCUCCCCGGGCUCGGGCGGGCGCUGAGGGAGGCGCUGCAGAGAGCGGGGCAGGCGCCGGGAGAGGACGAGGGGCUGCGGGAGCUGCUGAGGCGGCGCAGGGACAGUCUCGAGGGUCCCUGGAAGUGGCUCCUGUUCCACCGGCCCGUGCCCCCCCUGAUCCAGGAUGGGCCCCACAGGUCAUGCAGACUAUCCAAGACCAGCCCUGCCUUCAGCAGGCAGAUCCAUCCUGGAUGCCCGGCUGGACAGAGCGCUGUCAGCCGGGCAAAGAGUUCCUGAGACAGGAAACAAUGAACAAUCCUUGGAGCCUCUGAAACCGUCUGCUGCAAUCUCUCAUCAGCAGCUUUGGGAAAACCAGGAUUUGAACCACUGCAUGUCCUGCUGAGGUGAUCUCGGGGCUAAGGAGAAACCAGGGGCUGUGACAUUUGUGCACCCCAAAUGUCCUUUACAGACCCCAAAUUCUCCUUUUCAUAUCCCAAAUCUUGUGCAUCAAAAAUUCCUUUUCCUACCCCAAAAUAUCCUUUUCCCACCCAAAAUCCCCUUUUCCCACCCAAAAUCUCCUUUUCCUACCCAAAAUCCUUUCCUAUCCACCCAAAAUCCCCUUUUGCCGUCCAAAAUCUCCUUUUUCAAUCCCAAAUCCCCUUUUCCCACCAAAAUCCUGACCUCAAAUCCUCAAUCCCGACUCUAAACCCUUUUUUCCUACCCCAAAUCUCCUUUUCCAUCCCAAAAUCUCAUUUUUCCAUCCCAAAUCCUUCCCC